GUAGCGCAUUGACCCCGAAGGGGAUUUAGCGGGAAGGGAGAGGCCGGGCUCCGAUGGCUUUGUCCCGGGGCGACCAGAGAGGCCGAGGCACAAGAAUAAGGAGCGACCGCGUCUUGAAAGGCCGCGCCGAGGCGGCGGGGCUGCUGCUCUUGACUUCUGAGCAGGGCUUAGAAAGCUUGUCCCGGCUUAAACCAAACGGCCGGCGCUGGGCCCUGAGCGCCGAGUCCGCGGGCUCAGAGCCUCCGGCCUCGGAGCCGUGGGAUGAGGGGGAACUGGGGUGGCGGGGGAUCUGGCAAAGCUGUUUUUGGCUCUACAACCGCCUGACUCUAGCGCAGAGCUGCUAGCCUGACUCGCAGCGCCAGGGGAUGGCCAGAGCAAGAAUUUUCUUUUUCCAACUUCGGCUUUUGAUUUUGUGUGUCCACUUCCGAGCAGCUCCAGAGCCGACUGACCCCAAAUGGAUUCCCAACAGGUGGCCGGCCACCUCCAUCUCCAGCCUAGAUCAACCUAACUCCCCCAUCCCCCGUUCUCUCGCCGCCACCAAUCUGGAUCCCCGGCUGGGUCGGCAGUGAGAUGCCAGGUCUGCAGGUCCAGCGCUCGCUGAGGAGAGACAGACCCACCGACUGAUGGACUGGCAAUGGCCUUUUACGAACAAACUGACCUGAAGUUAGACGCAAGUCCGCAUCUUUCUCCCUCACGCUCUUGAAAAAACACAUCAAGAUUCCAGGAAGGCACCAGUCCCCGCACGAUCCAUCUGAGAAUCGCUUGCAGCCGCAGGCAAGCACACACAGCACCCCCACCCCUGCACGCCCCAGGCCGGCGCUUCGCGGGCCCCGAGACUAGAAGGCGAGCCGGCUCGCAAGGCGGCUCCCAGCAAAGGAUCCCGGGGCUCCUUCGUCCGUUUGGUGGCCUGGAGGUGGGGUGUGGCCGCGAGCCUCGAAGCGACCUAGCGACUCCGUCUCCACCCCUCCCCCCAAUUUGGCUCGACCCCGCCGAAAUUCACCGAGACAAGUCCCAGACGCUGUUUGGACCCUUCCAGAAGGGAGCAAGGCGCAGGAUCGUCGGAGGGUGUGCCUCUCCGUGAAGAAGUUGGGCAGAUGAAGAUGUAAGAGAGGCCUAGAGGGCCCCAGGGCUAGGAAGCCUUAUUAACCUCACAUCCCUCCCAAAGCCCCGAGUUUGCACUUGCACGCCUCCUCCUCCCGCUGCAGUUCCAGCGGGUCGCGCACGUCAGGCUUAAGCCGAGUCACCUGACCGUGCACGGAACGUACAGGCAGUUGUACCCGAAUACACACUAUGAAUUAGAGGAACGCUAAGAACAGAAUUUGAGGAAAAAAGAAGUGUCCACAGACAGAAUCAUUCCAGCGCACGGCCCAGUUGUCCAGCUGCUGACAAAAACCACAGUGCGGUCGUGGAGUGACCCCGGCCACACGGGGCGUACUACAGGAAACCACACACCGGAGAGUGGGCCGACUGAGGAUGCAGGCUUCGAAGCCAAGGGCUUCCUGCUAGAGGGACAUUUGCUCCCGAGGGAAAACCUUUGUUGAGCCGACUGGGUAAAAGGUUUCAGGUCAAGUCCAGGAGGCUACAAAGAGCACCUCCUCCACCCCAAAGCUGACCCUUUCCCCUUCCUCCCAGCUGAGCUGGAGGCGCACAGAAGAGGGCAAUCCAGGAAAGGUUCCUUCGGACCGGGAUGGUUUAUUUGUUAUUAUUAUUGGUUUAGGAGCUUGCAUUCUGAUGGAGGACGGGCUGGAGAGCAUAGGAACAUCACUUAGCGCUUAGCGCGCACCUAAUACCUAAUGGGAAACUUGGGCCCUAAUCAGGUUCACAUGGGGGAGGGCCCUGAUUUUGUCCCUAUAACUCCUCUUAUGCUAAAUUUAGUCUUUAAAAAGGUUAGCUUAGCUCCACAUCUUCCUUCCUUCACUUCCAGCCCAGUCCCCUUGGUAUAAAAUAAGUCAGCAAAAGAACGCUCCAAAGAACACCAAAUUAUUUGGUUUACUAAACUCCUUUUCUUUGUGAGAUAUGGGUAAGUUCUCACCCCCUCCUCUGCUGUCCCAGGCAGAAGUUCCCAUCCAGGCCCAGUGGGGGUGGGGAUUGAAGAGGAGGGAGUGAUUCCCAGAGGAGCUCUCCCAGAAAGGCCCAAACAAGUGCAAGGACUUGUUUUUGGUUUCAACUCUGUUUGCCUGUCUAGUCUGGGCGAACCUUCCAGACAGUAGCCACCACGGUUUUCCUGCAGAAGAGGCAGGCAUGUUGGAUGCAAUGGUGCCCUUCUCUCCACUUCACCUCUCUCCCCGACUCUCUCUCUCUCUCUGAAAGUAGAGGGUAAGUUUGAGAAGAUUCUUUUAGACCAAAAAAAAAAGGGGGGGGGAAGAGGACGUUCUGGGCCAGUAAGUUGGAUGACCACCCUCCAAGGGACAGAGGGUCUGUCUCCUGAAGAAGAGAUGAACCAUCUGGAAAACACUGCAGGAGGACACUUUUAAAUAAAUGUAGUUACCCUAGAAAUGGAGGGGGGUUGGGAGUAGGAGUAGGGAAAAAGUUCUUUCCUUUGGGGGACAAACACUGUGUCCUUCGAAUUUUUCCCAAAGAUACACUUGAUUGCUGGAAAUUGUAGUAAGAGUUUGUUCUUGUAGAUGUUUUAAACAAUAAAGAGUGCAAAUCAUUACAUAUUUUAGACUCAAUCUUCCUUGGAAGGGCAGUUUCUUCCAAGACCUUUUUCUUUCCCCAGGUUUGUCUUUCCUUAUUCCCUAGUAAGAGCCCACCUGCUGAUGCCCCUUAGGGAGAGACUAUGACAGAAAGCGAGAGAAACGAAUAAGGAGGAGACCAUCACCCCCAAACCCGGAGUGACUGCCAU